ACGGCUCAGUAANCACGUGGCUAAUCUGCCCUUAGGACGAGAACAACCCCGGGAAACUGGGGCUAACUCUUGAUAGGCGAAGAACUCUGGAAUGAGUCUUUACCUAAAAAGAUUCACGUUAUCCUCGUGAACCUGCCUAAGGAUGAGGCCGCGACCGAUCAGGUUGUUGGUGAGGUAAUGGCUCACCAAGCCUUUUACCGGUGCGGGCCGUGGGAGCGGGAGCCCGGAGAUGGGUACUGAGACAAGGACCCAGGCCCUACGGGGCGCAGCAGUCGCGAAACCUUUGCAAUACACGAAAGUGUGACAGGGCUAUCCCGAGUGCCAUCCGCUGAGGAAGGCUUUUACCCAGUCUAGAACGCUGGGGGAAUAAGGAGAGGGCAAGUCUGGUGUCAGCCGCCGCGGUAAUACCAGCUCUCCGAGUGGUGUGGAUGUUUAUUGGGCCUAAAGCAUCCGUAGCUGGCUAGGUAAGUCCCUUGUUAAAUCCACCGAAUUAAUCGUUGGAUCGCGGGGGAUACUGCUUGGCUAGGGGACGAGAGAGGCAGACGGUAUUUUCGGGGUAGGGGUGAAAUCCUAUAAUCCCGGGAAGACCACCAGUGGCGAAGGCUGUCUGCUAGAACGCGCCCGACGGUGAGGGAUGAAAGCUGGGGGAGCGAACCGGAUUAGAUACCCGGGUAGUCCCAGCUGUAAACGAUGCAGACUAGGUGUUUGGACGGCCACGUGCCGUUCUAGUGCCGCAGGGAAGCUGUUAAGUCUGCCGCCUGGGGAGUACGAUCGCAAGAUUGAAACUUAAAGGAAUUGGCGGGGGAGCAC
rnacentral:rRNA from 1 species